GUAGGUGGCAAGCGUUGUCCGGAAUUAUUGGGCGCAAAGCGCGCGCAGGCGGUUUUUUAAGUCUGAUGUGAAAGCCCACGGCUCAACCGUGGAGGGUCAUUGGAAACUGGAGAACUUGAGUACAGAAGAGGAAAGCGGAAUUCCACGUGUAGCGGUGAAAUGCGUAGAGAUGUGGAGGAACACCAGUGGCGAAGGCGGCUUUCUGGUCUGUAACUGACGCUGAGGCGCGAAAGCGUGGGGAGCAAACAGGAUUAGAUACCCUGGUAGUCCACGCCGUAAACGAUGAGUGCUAAGUGUUAGGGGGUUUCCGCCCCCCUUAGUGCUGCAGCUAACGCAUUAAGCACUCCGCCCUGGGAGUACGGCCGCAAGGCUG
rnacentral:rRNA from 1 species